CCUACGGGAGGCAGCAGUGGGGGAUAUUGCACAAUGGGGGGAACCCUGAUGCAGCGACGCCGCGUGGGUGAAGAAGCGCCUCGGCGCGUAAAGCCCUGUCAGCAGGGAAGAAAAUGACGGUACCUGAAGAAGAAGCCCCGGCGAACUACGUGCCAGCAGCCGCGGUAAUACGUAGGGGGCAAGCGUUAUCCGGAUUUAUUGGGUUUAAAGGGUGCGUAGGCGGGCUGUUAAGUCAGCGGUCAAAGGUCGGGGCGCAACCCCGGCCUGCCGUUGAAACUGGCGGCCUCGAGUGGGCGAGAAGUAUGCGGAAUGCGUGGUGUAGCGGUGAAAUGCAUAGAUAUCACGCAGAACUCCGAUUGCGAAGGCAGCAUACCGGCGCCCUACUGACGCUGAGGCACGAAAGCGUGGGUAUCGAACAGGAUUAGAUACCCCAGUAGUC
rnacentral:rRNA from 1 species